AGAAAGGAAAAUGGUGAAGUUUUGUUACUUCAGAAACUUGGCUACUAGCAAAACACCUCCUUCGUCAACUCCCUUGAAGUUUUGGGGGACUCCUACCAUAUGCUACUACACCUUGAUACUCAGAAGUCUCAUUACCUCAACCUACAUGCUUCACUCACAAAGCUUCAAAAUACAAGCUUCAACAAAAGAAAAAAAAUUCAAAGAACUUAGUGAAGGAAGCCUUGGUGUAUUUAACACAAUACAUUGAAAUGAAACAAAGAUUAUUUAUUGAUAUCUCCGAUAAGUUACAAAUAUGUACAUAUACAUGAAUCAAAAUAAACAAAUAGGAGGGAGCCUUCACAAAGGUUGCUCAGGAGAAGUCUCAACAGUCGGUAGAGCCCCAGGAAUAUAAGGCACCAGAGGGUGAUCAUUUGGAGCCUCAGUACUGGGCAGAACCCCAGAAGGAGAAGGCACCGAAGGUUAAUCAUUUGAAGCUUCAGUACGCGGUACAGCCCCAGAAGA
rnacentral:lncRNA from 1 species